ACGGGAGGCAGCAGCUAAGAAUAUUCCGCAAUGGACGAAAGUCUGACGGAGCGACGCCGCGUGGAUGAUGAAGGUCGGAAGAUUGUAAAAUCCUUUUAUAACUGAGGAAUAAGUAUUGUGAGAGAAAUGCAGUAUGGUGACUGUAGGUUAUGAAUAAGCAACGGCUAAUUACGUGCCAGCAGCCGCGGUAACACGUAAGUUGCGAGCGUUGUUCGGAAUUAUUGGGCGUAAAGGGCAUGUAGGCGGUUUUGCAAGCUUGAUGUGAAAUCCCGGAGCUCAACACCGGAAUUGCGUUGAGAACUGCAUAACUAGAGUCACUGAGGGGCAAUCAGAAUUCCAGGUGUAGGGGUGAAAUCUGUAGAUAUCUGGAAGAAUACCAAUGGCGAAGGCAGGUUACCAGCAGAUGACUGACGCUGAGGUGCGAAGGUGCGGGGAGCAAACAGGAUUAGAUACCCUGGUA
rnacentral:rRNA from 1 species